CGGCUUCGGCCAAAGGAAGCUAAGGUUUAGUGGGCAACGGGUGAGUAACGCGUGAGGAACCUGCCUUCAGUGGGGGACAACAGUUGGAAACGACUGCUAAUACCGCAUAACAUAUUCGGACCGCAUGAUCUGAAUAUCAAAGCUUUAUGUGCUGGAAGAUGGCCUCGCGUCUGAUUAGCUAGUUGUGGGGGUAAACGGCCCACCAAGGCGACGAUCAGUAGCCGGUCUGAGAGGAUGAACGGCCACAUUGGGACUGAGAUACGGCCCAGACUCCUACGGGAGGCAGCAGUGGGGAAUAUUGGGCAAUGGGGGAAACCCUGACCCAGCAACGCCGCGUGAAGGAAGAAGGCUUCGGGUUGUAAACUUCUUUUACCAGGGACGAAGAACGUGACGGUACCUGGAGAAAAAGCAACGGCUAACUACGUG
rnacentral:rRNA from 1 species